AUGCACUUAUUGUAGGCCUACUCAGAUUCAUGUGGUGUGGCCUUGAUCUAGGGUGCAUACAGUGAUAGCUGUUUAAUCAGCAGUGGCCAGACAACCGCCGAGAUGGAUCCACAGUUGAAUGGCUCAAUUUGCUGUUUGCCUACUAAAUCCAUCUCACAAUG
rnacentral:snoRNA from 1 species